rnacentral:lncRNA from 1 species
AUGGGUAUCACACAACAGGCCAAGUCAGUCUGGAAAAUGAUGCCAUGUUUUGAAGGAAGCAAAGUGUACUUGUGUAUAUCUUUACAAGAAAUAGAUAACAUCAAGAACUUCGGGAGUGGGAGAGAUUGGACAGGGAGACUCAGCAGGUCAGGACAUUUGUGUUAUCAUUUGCUGAUCAUUCUUUUGCCAUCAAUCCUACAGUUCUCAAGUCUCUUGCCACUUGUUUAUUUCUUGGACAUGCUUACUUGGUAUGUUCUCAGUUUUGCAAAUCAUGACUAACGCCUUCAUAUAAAAAGUCUAGCAUUUGAGUAUCCUUUUUUAGGAUUUGAAGAUUAAAACAUAAUUUAAAUGAAUUUUCAAGAAUAGAAGAAAAUUUUUUACCUAAUAAGUUAU